rnacentral:lncRNA from 1 species
UUUUUUUUUUUUUGGAGACAAGGUCUCAGUAUGUUGCCCAGGCUGGAGUUGAACUCCUGAACUCCUGAGCUCAAGCAAUCCUCUCUCCUCACCCUCUAGAGGAGCUGGGACUAUAGGUACAUGCCACCACACCCUUCUCGCCAGACUUCCUACUGCUGUGGUCCUCACCCACAGCCAAAAGGCAGGUGUGACAGUGCCAAAGAUUGGUCCUCCCUGGUUUCUAAUGGGUGAAUCACAAAUUUGGUUUUCUUCACGGGGAGCUGGUCUAAGGUCAGAUUCAGCCAAAAGGCAGGUGACUAACAGUGGUGUUUAGGGCAUGUGCAGGCUGCAGGCCUUGUGGCCAGGCCUCAAGCUGCUGUGUGGGGAGGCUCAGGGCUGGGUUCAGCUCUGCUGCUCACCAGCUGUGUGGCCUUGGACCAGUCACUUUACCUCUCUGAGCCUCAGUUUUCUCACCUGUGAGAUGACGAUGAUCUGGCCUUGCAAUGAUGCCAUAGAGUCAACAGAAGAGGCACAGGGGAAGGUCUGGGUGAGAGGUGGGCUGCAGACAGUCGGAGCCCUCCAUGGCUCUCCCCUCCCCCGCCUGCCUUCCUGCCUAGGCUUGGCCAGAUGGUGGGAGCUGGGAAAUGCAGCAGAGCUGCACGCUCCUGGUCUAUUUUGAGAAGCCUCCUGUUUCCUUUCCUGCCUGGGGCCAUGUGGUGACUGCGGGUCUCUGCUUACAGGACGGGCUCAGAGAGCCUGACCUUCGCCUUCCUCUACCCCUCACUCCCAGCCCUUCCCUUCCUUGUGGUCUGGACCCCGUAAAUCCCCAUAUCCUGGUUCCCAGCCCAGGCACCAUGGCCCCCACCCAGCAGGGGUGGAGAUCAGGCUUUCACAGGGGAUUUGGGGUAGGGGACUUUUCACUUGUCUGCGCUAUGGAGGAACCAGUGAGCUGUCCCACCGCACCCAAGUCCCUUUGCUACAGAGCCUUGCUGUUGGUGGCUGCCAGCAUCUCCAGCUUACUGCAGGGGUGGGGGGUGGAGUCUUCCACACGCCCCACACAGCUUCCUCCAGAGCCUCCUGAGGGUCCUGCAGAGAGAAACGGCCACCCAGAACGCUGGCGGCCCCGCCAAGAGGUCAGGCAGCCCCUGGCUUGUAGCCUGCCUUGUCUGAGUUCCAGGCCAGCAGGGGAAGUGGUGGCCCCACACGCUGUCAGUCGCCAUGCCAGAAACUUAGCAGCCACCCGUGAUUCCUCCCUCUCCCUUACUCCUCCCUGCCUAGAGCUCUGACCCCAGCAUGCCUGGCUUUGAGUCCCACCUCUAUCACUUACCAGAUCUGUAAACUCUCAUCUCUCUGUGCCUUAAUUUACUUCCUGUAAAGUGGAGAUCAGGAGAGCACGUGCCUACUUCAUUGGUUUGUGGGGAAGAGAUAAUAGUUAACACAGACAGAGUGCUUAGGACGGUGCCUGGCUGUCUUAGUUCGUUCUGCUGCUGCAACAAAAUACCUUAGACUGGGUAAUUUAUAAAUCAUAGUGAUUUAUAUCUCAUUGUUCUGGAGGCUGGGAAGUCCAACAUCAAGAUACAAACAGAUUUAGUGUCUGGUAAGGGCCUGUUUUCUGUGGGUCAUAGAUGGUGCCUUCUUACCGCUUCCUUGUGAGGUAGAAGGGAAGAGUUCUGGUCUCUUCAGCCCCUUCUGAGGGCUCUAAUCCCAUUCACGAAGUGGAGCCCUCAUGCCUUAAUACCCCUUAAAAGCCCCUCCUCUUAAUACUAUCACACUGGUGAUUAAGUUUCAACAUAUGAAAUUGGGGAGAUGCAUUUAGACCAUAGCUCUGGCACAUAGCAACUACUCAAUUAAUGCUAGGUCUUGUUAUCAAAUUGGUCAACACAUUCUACCCACUCCAAUUCUUUGGCAUUGCUUCUGCCUCCUAGAUUUCUGUCCUCCUUUAACUGCUCCUGGUGCACUGCGGAACCCUUCUCACUGGUCUCAUCAUCUCUUUCCUUCCACCCCACUAAAGCCAGGGGUGUCUUUCUAAAUAAAAAGUCUGAUUAGGCUGGGUGCCUUGGUGGGUGGAUCACUUGAGGUCAAGAGUUCGAGACCAGCCUGGCCAGCAGGGUAAAACCCCGCCUCUACUAAAAAUGCAAAAAUUAGCCAGGUAUGGUGACAGGUGCCUGUCAUCCCAGCUAUUUGGGAGGCUGAGGCAGGAGAACCACUUGAACCUUGGUGGCAGAGGCUGCAGUGAGCCCAGAUCAUGCCACUGCAGUCUA